UGGGGAAUAUUGCACAAUGGGCGCAAGCCUGAUGCAGCCAUGCCGCGUGUGUGAAGAAGGCCUUCGGGUUGUAAAGCACUUUCAGCGAGGAGGAAGGGUUCAGUGUUAAUAGCACUGUUCAUUGACGUUACUCGCAGAAGAAGCACCGGCUAACUCCGUGCCAGCAGCCGCGGUAAUACGGAGGGUGCAAGCGUUAAUCGGAAUUACUGGGCGUAAAGCGCACGCAGGCGGUUUGUUAAGUCAGAUGUGAAAUCCCCGCGCUUAACGUGGGAACUGCAUUUGAAACUGGCAAGCUAGAGUCUUGUAGAGGGGGGUGAGAAUUCCCAGGUGUAGCGGUGAAAUGCGUAGAGAUCUGGAGGAAUACCGGUGGCGAAGGCGGCCCCCCUGGACAAAGACUGACGCUCAGGUGCGAAAGCGUGGGG
rnacentral:rRNA from 1 species